UUGGGUUGGGGUGGUGGGCCCUGGAGGGGGUUUGUUUGCUCAUUCUCCUCUGUGCUUAACCCCUACCCAG
ensembl:miRNA